rnacentral:rRNA from 1 species
GUCUACGGGCAUGUCACCCUGAAUGCGCCCCAUCUCGUCUGAUCUCAGAAGCUAAGCAGGGUCGGGCCUGGUUAGUACUUGGAUGGGAGACACAACCCUUGCCUUGGGGUGA